rnacentral:lncRNA from 1 species
CAAUCUUGUGCAUCUCCCAUUGUGCUUCCUGUACAGAAGGCAUGGAGGUAGUACUUAGAAGAGAUUCUCUAGAGAGAUUCAGCGCAUCUUCCUGUAUGACCCUUCUGUAUCUAGGCAGCAAGAACUUUAGCUGAGAACCCAUCUCCAUACCCUCGUCACAAUGAGCUCUCUACAUCUAACAGUCCAUCGUCUUAACAUAUAUGCAAG